rnacentral:rRNA from 1 species
GAUGAACGCUGGCGGCGUGCCUAAUACAUGCAAGUCGAGCGAACAGACGAGGAGCUUGCUCCUCUGACGUUAGCGGCGGACGGGUGCGUAACACGUGGAUAACCUACCUAUAAGACUGGGAUAUCUUCGGGAAACCGGCGCUAAUCCCGGAUAAUAUAUUGAACCGCAUGGUUCAAUAGUGAAUGACGGUUUUGCUGUCACUUAUAGAUGGAUCCGCGCCGCAUUAGCUAGUUGGUAAGGUAACGGCUUACCAAGGCAACGAUGCGUAGCCGACCUGAGAGAGUGAUCGGCCGCACUGGAACUGGGACGCGGUCCAGACUCCUACGGGAGGCAACAGUAGGGAAUCUUCCGCAAUAGGCGAAAGCCUGACGGAGCAACGCCGCGUGAGUGAUAAAGGUCUUCGGAUCGUAAAACUCUGUUAUUAGGGAAGAACAAAUGUGUAAGUAACUAUGCACGUCUUGACGGUACCUAAUCAGAAAGCCACGGCUAACUACGUG